GGGCCUGUAGCUCAGUUGGUUAGAGCACACCCUUGAUAAGGGUGGGGUCGAAAGUUCGAGUCUUUUUCUCGGUCCACCA
rnacentral:tRNA from 1 species